GAAAAUUUUCAGAACAGAUUUCCAGUGCUUUGAAUAGAUCAAAUGUCAGAGUCCUUGGGGAGCUAUGCGAAGAUUCUCUUAAGAGGGAAGUUCUCUUAAGGUUGAAAUCUGAAAGAUUGUGGUGGGGGGUGCAAUUCUGGCAGAUGCCAAGGGUUUGGAUCUCUGGGAAGGCCUGAAAUGUUUGCACUUCAUCAUGAAGACAUCUGGGGUUUAUUUGUCAUGGUUUUGUACUUCAUGGUCUAAAUGUCUCUCAUUUUUCUAUUUCCCGGUAAACAAGAUAUUAAGAUGAUGUUUUCCCUCUGAGGCCAAGAGGUGACUCCAGCAAGAAUUCUGAAGAGCCA
rnacentral:lncRNA from 1 species